rnacentral:rRNA from 1 species
UGAGCGUGAUGUCUACUUGGAGGUUGUGCCCUUGAGGCGUGGCUUCCGGAGCUAACGCGUUAAGUAGACCGCCUGGGGAGUACGGCCGCAAGGUUAAAACUCAAAUGAAUUGACGGGGGCCCGCACAAGCGGUGGAGCAUGUGGUUUAAUUCGAUGCAACGCGAAGAACCUUACCUGGUCUUGACAUCCACAGAAGAAUCCAGAGAUGGAUUUGUGCCUUCGGGAACUGUGAGACAGGUGCUGCAUGGCUGUCGUCAGCUCGUGUUGUGAAAUGUUGGGUUAAGUCCCGCAACGAGCGCAACCCUUAUCCUUUGUUGCCAGCGGUUAGGCCGGGAACUCAAAGGAGACUGCCAGUGAUAAACUGGAGGAAGGUGGGGAUGACGUCAAGUCAUCAUGGCCCUUACGACCAGGGCUACACACGUGCUACAAUGGCGCAUACAAAGAGAAGCGACCUCGCGAGAGCAAGCGGACCUCAUAAAGUGCGUCGUAGUCCGGAUUGGAGUCUGCAACUCGACUCCAUGAAGUCGGAAUCGCUAGUAAUCGUGGAUCAGAAUGCCACGGUGAAUACGUUCCCGGGCCUUGUACACACCGCCCGUCACACCAUGGGAGUGGGUUGCAAAAGAAGUAGGUAGCUUAACCUUCGGGAGGGCGCUUACCACUUUGUGAUUCAUGACUGGGGUGAAGUCUACAAGGGGAGAACCAAAAAACCUGGGGUCAAAGACG